GGGGGGUUCACCUGGAAGCUGAUGGCUUGUCUUUGGAAACACCUGUUUUAAUGAACAAGUGAGAACACAGGCUUGCUUCAGGCGGGAUGUGGAACAGCUUCUGCCACUGAAGGGACAAGUGUGGAGUGUUCUGAGCCUUGAGCUGUUCUGGACCCCAGCAGCAAGUCAAGCUGAUCAUCUGAGAGGUCACUGGCCCUUUCUCCUGGAACUUGAUAGUGGACCAGUUCAGGAUAGGGUGGGGGUGACUUGGAGGCCCAGAAGUCUGGGUUUUCAUACCACCCCCUUGUGCUACUAGUUUGAGGGCAGUGGAAGGGAUGAGAGGAUUGGAUUGUCUCAUCACCUCUCCACUGGGGUGGGAAACCAGAGUCACACCCUGGUUGCUUAGAAUAUUAGUUUCCACAAGCUGCCUAAGGGCCUCAGGCCCAGGCAGGGAAGGCUUCAAGCUGGAGGAGCCCUGCAGGCCUCUGAAACACCUAAAGCUCCCCUUUCCUUCUAGAGAGGCAUAGUCCUUAAGCACCCUUUCCCACCCAGCAAAUCUGGUACUGGAUUGGCAUUGUUUCCCUGUGUGCAAUUUCCUUUUGUCUGUACGGUAAGCCAAAGCUGGGUGUUGAAGUUUGCAAGCUUCCUGGCUUGCUUGUCACUGCACUUCAGGGUACGGCUCUGCCAAGGCCAUGGUCAAUAUGGAAAUGGCCAUGGACUAGGAGCAAGGCGGGUGGGAGGUAGAAGGGCUGGUCUCAGGGCUUGGGCUUAUAUGGCAUGAGGGAGCUUUUCUGAGCUCCCACCUUAGUAUUAGGUUGAAAGCCUGGGUUAUGAUGGCUGUCCACAGAGCAGUUCUGUAGGGCAUGUUUGUUGGGAAUUGGGAGCCCAUAGGAAUGCGUGUGCUAGGAUCAUGGCUGACAAUAGUCCCACUGUCAAGCCUUCCUUGGGGGAAAUUCUGGGUUUGAAGCCAAACUUUAGCUUAGGGGCUGAAGGAUAACCCGUUUCAUGGAGCCCAGUUGUGAGGCUGUCAAACUCUCCAUGGAGAGGAAAUAAGAUAAUGUACAAUGUACAAUUUCUAGGGGGUCCCAGGUCCAAAUGUAACUGGGUAGGUCAAAGAAAAAUAAACUAUAGGCCGGGCGCGGUGGCUCAAGCCUGUAAUCCCAGCACUUUGGGAGGCCGAGACGGGCGGAUCACGAGGUCAGGAGAUCGAGACCAUCCUGGGUAACACAGUGAAACCCCGUCUCUACUAAAAAUACAAAAAACUUAGCCGGGCGAGGUGGCAGGCGCCUGUAGUCCCAGCUACUCGGGAGGCUGAGGCAGGAGAAUGGCGUGAACCCGGGAGGCGGAGCUUGCAGUGAGCUGAGAUCCGGCCACUGCACUCCAGCCUGGGUGACAGAGCAAGACUCCGUCUCAAAAAAAAAAAAAAAAAGAAAAA
rnacentral:lncRNA from 1 species